AAUAAUGGAACAUAGCAAAGUCAUUCUCAAGGUAAAAGGAAGAUUCCAAGUUCAUGAGAAUCUUGGAUGGAAGCCAACCAUAUUGCUAAAGUUUCAUAUUCAUUCACAUGUCAUCUCAUAUCAACCACUCACAUGUAAUCUCAUAUCAACCACAUGAAGUACAUGACAAGAAACCCUGAAAAUAUCUUGGUUAAAACGCUUGUGUGGUGAAAAUUUGAUCGACAAAAGAAACAGUUAUUCAGGAUUCAGACCUUUCGAUCGACAAAAGUUAACGGUUAUUCAGGAUUUAGAUCUUUCAAUCGACAAAAGAAACAACUAUUCAUGAUUCAGAGCUUUCGAUCGACAAAAGAAACAACUAUUCAGGAUUCAGAUCUUUCGAUCAACAAAAAAAAAAACAACUAUUUAGGAUUAAGAUCUUUCGAUCAACAAAAGAAACAACUAUUUAGGAUUCAGAUCUUUCGAUCGACAAAAGAAACAGCUAUUCAGGAUUCGGAUAUUUCCACUCGACAAAAGAAACAACUAUUCAGGAUUCAAAUCUUUCGAUCAAUAAAAGAAACAGCUAUUCAAGAUUCAGAUAUUUCGAUCGACAAAAGAAACAGCUAUUCAGGAUUAAGAUCUUUCAAUCAAC